rnacentral:rRNA from 1 species
AGAGUUUGAUCAUGGCUCAGAUUGAACGCUGGCGGCAGGCCUAACACAUGCAAGUCGAGCGGUAGAGAGAAGCUUGCUUCUCUUGAGAGCGGCGGACGGGUGAGUAAUACCUAGGAAUCUGCCUGGUAGUGGGGGAUAACGUUCGGAAACGGACGCUAAUACCGCAUACGUCCUACGGGAGAAAGCAGGGGACCUUCGGGCCUUGCGCUAUCAGAUGAGCCUAGGUCGGAUUAGCUAGUUGGUGAGGUAAUGGCUCACCAAGGCUACGAUCCGUAACUGGUCUGAGAGGAUGAUCAGUCACACUGGAACUGAGACACGGUCCAGACUCCUACGGGAGGCAGCAGUGGGGAAUAUUGGACAAUGGGCGAAAGCCUGAUCCAGCCAUGCCGCGUGUGUGAAGAAGGUCUUCGGAUUGUAAAGCACUUUAAGUUGGGAGGAAGGGCAGUAAAUUAAUACUUUGCUGCUUUGACGUUACCGACAGAAUAAGCACCGGCUAACUCUGUGCCAGCAGCCGCGGUAAUACAGAGGGUGCAAGCGUUAAUCGGAAUUACUGGGCGUAAAGCGCGCGUAGGUGGUUUGUUAAGUUGAAUGUGAAAUCCCCGGGCUCAACCUGGGAACUGCAUCCAAAACUGGCAAGCUAGAGUAUGGUAGAGGGUAGUGGAAUUUCCUGUGUAGCGGUGAAAUGCGUAGAUAUAGGAAGGAACACCAGUGGCGAAGGCGACUACC